GGUUGCAUAGUGUAGUGGUUAUCACUCCAGAUUUUGAUUCUGGUAACCCCGGUUCGGUAUGUUGAGCCUCUAAAUCUUCUUAUACUGUCACUAACUAGUCUCCAGAACCCGGGUGCGACCU
rnacentral:tRNA from 1 species